UUUCUUUAGCUGUUAUUACUUCGGAUCUUUAUCCGUGUGGUAGACCUCUUGAUCCCUUUAUCUUUCCCGCAUUUUACCGCUUUCUUAGCUGGAAGACCUCGAUAAGAGGCAAUGUUUUCUUUUGUUUGUUUACUUUUGUGCCCAAAGACCUCCAAAAGGAGGCACUAGUGCUAAAGACCUCCACGAAGAGGCAAUUGACGGAUAAAAG
rnacentral:lncRNA from 1 species